rnacentral:ncRNA from 72 species
UGGAAGACUAGUGAUUUUGUUGUU